UGAACUCAAUAAAUUGUUUAGAUACAAGUGAAAUUGUGCUGUACAGAAUUUUUUGCCAAUAUAAGUUAUUGUACAUUUUGCACUGUUAAUCUCAAAAGACCAUGUGACAUAUCUCUGACCUGUGCUGCACUGAAGAUGAGUUCACAAUACUGUCUUAACAGAGCAACAUCUGUUAAGGAUUGUCAUUCCUGAAAGCCCACUGGAGAAACCCCCCCAGUACCAGUUUGACUUGGAGUCUUUAUGGAGU
rnacentral:lncRNA from 1 species